rnacentral:lncRNA from 1 species
AGGAAGAUGUAGAGAAAGCUGAUGCUGUGUGCAUGUGUGAGGAUGGGGACUGUCCCAAGUAAGAAGCGAGUGAAGUCAAGAGGAAGCACAUUAUCCAGUUGAUAAAGGUGUUUCCGGAGAGGACACAGGUUGUAGCUCCAAAGUGGCUGUGGAUUCAAAUUGGAAUUGAAUAGUGCAGUAAAUGUUUGACAUGAUGGAAUCCAGAUUUCUCAUUGAGAAGUAGAAAACUAAAGUCUGUAAGGAGAGACACUCCAGUGAUCUGUGUUGCAGAGUGUGAACUCAUGUUAGUGUAACAUACAUACAGAUGAAUACAUGUGAAAAUUCUGGGCAGCUUUGUUCCCAGACUGAUGUGCACAUGCGUGUCUCUACCCUGACAGCUGGAAAGCAGUGACAGCCCCAGGAGCACAUCUACAUCACAAGUUUUGGGUUCUAAUUGUGUACUUGAAAACUGCACUUCGUGAAGAAGAUGACUCAAAUAGAAGACAGAGAUGGUCGCUGCAGUUUCUCUCCUUAGAAAACCCAGAAGAGAACACAUUGUGUCCCCACAUUUGAGAUGCCCACCAUUAGGUAGUCCAGGGGGGAAGCUGAAACAAUCUGAGGAACACAACUACAGAAUUCCAAGGAAAAGUCCAAAGUAAGAAACCAUAGUUCUCAGUGAGAUACAUAAAGUACACGGACUACAUGGGAAUGAAGGGAUUUCCUGUUGAGUUGAAAGCAUUUGACAUACCCACUUCAUCCUCACAACUGCCCACAUUUAACGUGUGGGCUGUGUCUAAUGCCUUCCUCCUGAAGAAUAGAGUGUGGAAAUGGAAAUCAGAGCCCACGGAAAGGGAGAAAAGUGACAAGCACCCACUCAGUGUUCAAGUUCAAUAUCUUCACUGAAAGAUCAAGUUGGUAGAAAAACCCUCCAAAUUUCGAAUUUUUACUUUAAACUGUUAAGGUAAGAUAAGCCUGGUGUGGUAAGAUAAGCUUCUGCCUGUGAGUCUAACUCUCAGUGUGCUGAGGAAGAGGGGGUUAGCCUGGGCUACAGAGUAAGCGAUUGUUUAAACAUACAAACAAACAAUAAUGAAACGGGGAAAUUUCCAUAAAGCUCACUGAGAAGAGUUGGAAAUUGAGAAAGUGUCACAGCCACAGGACACCUGAGGAAAGAAGCCAGCGAAGUACAGCAUAGGGACCUGGAGGUGAUGACGUGAGCCCUAAGAGGAUGUGAGCCCCAAGGAAGGCUGAGUUAAGUGUGGGUUUAGUUAACAAUAAUGUAUAAGCAAUUCCUUUUUAAAAGAAACAUACCACAUUUAUAUGUUGGCCAUGGUGGAAGCUGGAUAUGAGCUAUAUGACAAUUGUGUAACAUUUUCGUUAUUUUUCUAUAAUUUCAAAAUUGUAUUAAAAUAAAGACAUUAUUUUAAAAAUGAAUACAAUUCAAACUUAUUAGACCAACUCAUAUAUUUUAUUAAGCUUAGAUAGAUAUUCUUCCUGUUUUGUGUGUUUUGUUAACCUAAUUGGUAAACUACAAAAAUUGAAAUAGAGCAGAACUCCUAAUUUACUACUGAAGACUGUGUCUGAUGGCAUGUUCUGUCGUCUGCAAAUUAGUAAGAACACUUUAAACAGAAGGUUAGCCCCCACAGAAGUAUUCUACAAAAACCCAAAGACAAAAAGUACCAUACAGUUUCCAUGCUGCUGCUAUUAAACAUGUUGUUCCUGAAAAUAUCUCACUUACUAUAAUCCAACGUGAGAAUCCUAAGUAUAUAAAGAAUGUCAGUAUAUACUCAGUAAGUAAAUGCACAUUUUUGGUUUUUUUUUCCCUAUAGCUAUGGGGUUUAAACCUGACAAAAUGCAUACUUACAAAUAUCAGAGCUAAAAUGUUUCAGUAAUUAAUAAUGACUAAUAGAGCUAUUGACAUGUACGAGAUUUAUGACAAUCAUGGAGAGAGCAAUCCUGCACAUGGGUAAGCAAUGUCAGAAGAUUGGCUUAUUCUUGAUAAAAGGAUGCAACACGUGACAUUUUCAUUAAGGACAACCUCAAUAAUAUUAUUAUCAAACCCACAAACCAGGCUUCAAUGUUGUUUUUUUCUAUACCUGAUAAUUAGGUGUAAAAAUUGCAUCAUUUUAUAAAAUAAUAUCCACUGUCCUCAGAAAAGUACAGAGCUGGGAUUUCAGGUCCAUCAGCAUUUUACUGAGGGUAAAAAAUGAGCACAAGAUUUUUUUGUUUAUUCUCUCCACAGUGCAAUAAUCUAUUGUUGUGCUCCAAGCAAAGUCCUGACUCUUCUACAGAGUACAGCUUUCUGAAACCUUUGAGGAGACCUCACUGCCAUCUGCCCUUUUUAUUUAUGCUUUAAUAAAAGCCUGCUCAUCAGUCUUCAACUCGUGAGACUUAGGGGCAAAGCUCAGUGAAUAAUGGACUCUUCCAGUGCACCCUAUGUUGAACUCAGCAGAAUACUUAUGAUGUUUGACAUCUGGAUAUCCAGAAAUGAAGGUCACUUGCAAGAUGCAGUUAUCUGUGGAACUUAGAUGGAGACACCCUACAUGGCAUGCCUGACCUUUGGAAGGGCCUUGGCUGGGGUAUCCCAGUCAUGAUGUGAAGGCAGAUUUGCUCCAUGUUUUAACUCCCAUUUGCUAAAUGCAUUCACUGCACGGGGGUUAUGGUUUCCUGACUUUUGCCUCUCCAAUUCUGUUCUGUUUCUUUUCCUCCUUGAGAUCAAAUGAUCUCAAAGAUGAAUCUAGACUGAGGAACCACCCGCCUUUCUUCGUUUGAGAGCAUUUGGAAGGGAAUGAUGAAGAUAACUGAUCACAAGUAAAUGGAUAUAUACAGUGAGC